UCAGUUAGUUCUGUGGAUCAAAAAGAACAAUGUCGAUUUAAGUAUACCUGAAAUUAUAUCAGCAGACCAAUCCAGUUUUUUCAAUACCAGGUUCAUAAUUGGUAGACCUCAUCUUGGAAAUCCCCGGGACCAGCAGCUUUCAGUGUUAACUAUUUUAAUUCAAAUACUAUUAUAAAAUUGUGAUAACGAAAUACUGCCGCAAGGAACAAAGACGACAUGAAGUCUUCACUUAAUUCUCAUGUUUAUUAGGACACGCUGUACUAUGUAGAUUCAGAUAAAUUUCU